rnacentral:rRNA from 1 species
GAUGAACGCUGACAGAAUGCUUAACACAUGCAAGUCAUUGGCGAAGCUGCGCUUGCGCAGUCUAGCCAAGGCGGACGGGUGAGUAACGCGUAAGGAACUUGCCCUGCAGACAGGGAUAACAGACGGAAACGACUGAUAACACCUGGUAUUGUCAGGCUGGCGCAUGGCGGCCUGAUGAAAGGAGACGCUGCAGGAGAGCCUUGCGUCCUAUUAGCUAGUUGGUGGGGUAACGGCCCACCAAGGCGAUGAUAGGUAGCCGGCCUGAGAGGGUGAACGGCCACAAGGGGACUGAGAUACGGCCCUUACUACUACGGGAGGCAGCAGUGGGGAAUAUUGGACAAUGGGGGCAACCCUGAUCCAGCAAUUCUGUGUGCACGAAGAAGGUUUUCGGAUUGUAAAGUGCUUUCAGCAGGGAAGAAGAAAGUGACGGUACCUGCAGAAGAAGCGACGGCUAAAUACGUG